GAGGGAUGGGUGCGUCCCUGGGAAAAUCCUAAUGGUAUCCCAUCUGCUGACAUUUCCUGGCUUAAAGAGGACACUGAAAGAGGGCUGUUUACCCCUGUUCAGACAUACAAGGAUGUUACUGGUGUGUUGAAGAGGCGACGGGUGAUUAAAUCAGAUCGCAUGUGGUUUUACCCACCAGAACCUCCUGGCUAUGCCAGGGGUGCUGUGCCCAGUGUACAGCUCUUUUUUCGCAGCCGUGUCUUUUUGUGGCGUCCUGUUGGGGUAUGGAAGUACUCCCUGAAGUGUCCUCGAGCUGACGAGUGUGUGGGUAAAGGACAAAAUGUGCACCUAUAUAAGUCUGGCUAUCACCACCGGGUACGUCACAUCUGUGACGUGUCCAACUGGUACACGAUGCUUACUGAGGUCCUAGGUGGACCAUGUACAAAGGCGGGCAGAAGUGGCGGACUCAGCAAUUUUAUCACAACUCAGCGAGGGACACCAAGCCAUAUUCCCGGCCAUCUUGACUAGCAAGCGUGGUGUGGAUAAGAAUGUUGUACGCUUUCUGAGAGACAGAACCGAAGGAAACACUAUGGUCAAGCUGUGGCGGCAGAUACAGGAGAGUCACAUGGAGGAGUACCUUCAGCGGAAGGACCUGUACACCACACUCCUAAUGACUUUUGCGGAGCCCGGGGGCAUCGUCUCAGCCUUACGGCACACAUUCCAGGCACCACUUCCUCCAAGAGCGCUUCCCUCUGCAUGGCUGUUGCGCCACGCUUUCCUGCUGGCAGAGGCCAGCAAUGUGAGGGAUUACCGAAGCCAGAUUCUGUCCACUUUUGGCACUGUGCUGAAAAUGGAUUCCACCAAAAAAGUGGUGAAAAAGCUGUCUGGGGAAGGUCAAGGCUCACCAGUAUCGGAAAUGAGCACUCACAAAUAGUUACAUUUGUGCUGACCUGCGAGGAGUCCUUUGCAAGCUGCAGCCAAUGUGCCGUGGAGUCAUGGAGAGGUUUCACUUGGCCAAUCAGCCUGUUCCCAAAAUUUUGUAUGUGGACCGUGGGUGUUGCCGUGCACAGGGACCAUCAGUAGUAGAGGCCUUGUUUCAGCCUUGGGUGGACAGUGGGAUGCUUGUGCAUCUGGACAUCUUUCACUGGAUCCACCGGUUUGAUGCAGCCAUCCGUACAGUCUCAUGCAAAGUACUCUGCAUUUAAGUCUGCAGUAGCUGGGGUGGUGCUGGCUUACCACCGCACAGACCUUGAGCUGCUUAUAAGGGCCGUCAGAGCAAAGAACCCAGUAAAAAUGCAGUCUGUGUCCGACGAGGAAGUUGUCCGCCUUUACAUUUCCAGGGAGCAGUUAAAACACCAUGUGCGCAGGGUCACACUUGGGGCUCAGGAAACGUUUCGGCUCAUCCAAUUGGUUAUCGAGGAGCUGAAAGGUCCAGCUGGGCUGGAUGAGAUAUUAAUACAAAUUGGGACAAACUGAAGAUCACACAAGGCUUGUCUAUCUGAUUAUUUCCAGGGGCCAUUGAUGAGAUGUGGGCAGCACAGCAGCGACACCUGGAGUGCAUUCAGACAUGAGCAUGUAUAGGGUGGCCCAUACCACAACAAUAAACAACGUGGAUGUCCCCUAUUACAAAUGUCUGCGUGGAAGCAAUAGCCUGGAAGGGUUCCACAAAUUACUUCCUAACAUGAUUCCAGGUCCCCACUGCGCA